GGGCCCUUAGCUCAGUUGGUAGAGCGGUCGGCUCAUAACCGAUUGGUCGUAGGUUCGAGUCCUGCAGGGCCCA
rfam:Aneurinibacillus migulanus strain DSM 2895 super17, whole genome shotgun sequence.